rnacentral:rRNA from 1 species
UACGUAGGGCGCAAGCGUUGUCCGGAAUUAUUGGGCGUAAAGAGCUCGUAGGCGGUUUGUCGCGUCUGCUGUGAAAACCUAAGGCUCAACCUUGGGCUUGCAGUGGGUACGGGCAGACUAGAGUGCGGUAGGGGUGACUGGAAUUCCUGGUGUAGCGGUGAAAUGCGCAGAUAUCAGGAGGAACACCGGUGGCGAAGGCGGGUCUCUGGGCCGUAACUGACGCUGAGGAGCGAAAGCGUGGGGAGCGAACAGG